GUAAAAUUGUACCUUACUAAAUACAGAAUUUGAAGCGUUUAAAAAAAAAAGCCUCAAUGCCUCAAAUUCAUAAAGCAAAGUCAGGUAUUAUUUCAGCAUACCGUAGACACAGUAUAAUUGCUGAUAAUACCGAACUAUAUUGUGCAAUAUAUUACAUAGGGUAAUGAGUCCUCAGCAGUGGGAAAAUACAAAACCUAAAAGCCCUACCAAAGUUUUUGUUUGAAUUUA